rnacentral:rRNA from 1 species
UACGGGGGGGGCAAGCGUUGUUCGGAAUUACUGGGCGCAAAGGGUCUGUAGGUGGCCAACUAAGUCAGACGUGAAAUCCCUCAGCUUAACUGGGGAACUGCGUCUGAGACUGGAUGGCUUGAGUGCAGGAGAGGAACGCGGAAUUCCAGGUGUAGCGGUGAAAUGCGUAGAUAUCUGGAGGAACACCGGUGGCGAAGGCGGCGUUCUGGACUGCAACUGACACUGAGAGACGAAAGCCAGGGGAGCAAACGGG